AAACGUCGCCAUUAUACAAAAUACGAAAGAUGAGAGAGAGCUGAGACAGAAGAUACCAGACACAAUACUAUUCAGGGUUAAAUUCACAUGGUUUACUCUUUGAGUUCCCAAGAUGACAUUUCAGCCAAGCCCUAUAGUGGGGUGUUGCAUCAGAAGAUCUUCUAUUAUACAAUGGGAAUUCCAGGUUGCCUGUGUCUGUACCCCGUUUCAUCUUCACUUCUGGGAACCAGGCUGAUGGAGAAGUCUUCUAGCAGAAGUACUAUGGGUCAUGAUGGCAGAAAGAAGAGCAAACUUGGUGGACCAUGUGCUGGCCCUUGAUGGGUCUACUCAGAUGGGUCACGUAUCUCUGCUCACAAGGGCACACAAGGGAAACUCUUGAAAUUCCAGGGAACUUUAUUUACUGAAGCCAAAAGACUCCAAUAGUCAUGAAUAGUGUCAUCUCCAGAAAGGUAGCUACCCUUGCAUUUCAUCAGGGCUCUGCUUGCAAGAAUCGCAAGGCAGAUCAAGCCUAGCGGCCUAAGAGAUCUACUUCCCCUGGGAAUGAAUCCUGCAUAAAGACCCAUGUAUGGAAAGCAAGAAUGCACACCACCAUGAGGGAAAACCAGCACAGUACCAGAAACGGAGUUCAAACAGAUGUCAAGCUGAUUGAAUAACUGAGGCUUGAUAGAGUUACAUCACUUGUCCAAAGAGAUAAUGCCAGUGAAUGGAAUAGCCAGAUCGAAUUCCAGAAUCCGUAAAGCUCCACUGCUUCUCUCUGAAUCUAUGAGCCUGAAACAGCAGAUUCAGUAGAACAGAGUUUCUCAGGAAUGGCAGAGCCACAAGUUGGGAGGAGCCCAGCUCUGUCCAACAACCUGGAACAUCCAUCAACCAGGAAAACUGUUGCACUUUAUGUGAUUAAGAAACAUUUUUUAAGGAAAAAAGCAGUAAAUUUUUGGGUUAUAUUUGUUGCAAUAGCUGUGUUACUUUCCUAAUGCACAAUCACAAAUGUAAAAUGCCACACACAGAGUGUGAGGAAAUAUAUUGCUAUUGGACUACUUGUAGUCUAUUUAAUUUUUUUAUAUAGCUAUAGCCAGAUCUGGGGUGAAAUGGUUUAGAAUAAUAAUUUCCAAUAGUAUACAUCAUACCUUUAAAAAGACUUUUAUGGAUGGAUAAAUAUCUAAUUAUGGAACUGCCCUGCAACGUAAGUGGUGAGAGAAACUCUUUAUAUAUGCUUUGUUUUUUUCUGAAUGCAUAGGUUCAGAAUUAUUAAACAAAUCCUCAUCUUUUGACAGCCAGUAAUCAAUUUCUCAUUUGCAGGGAAUCUAAUUGCAUUAGAGGGGACACUGGGGAAGUUAUGGACUACCUCAUCUUUCUACUAUAAAAAAUGAAACUACUUGUCUGUAUUGAAUUUGAUUUUAUAUGUUCAAUGAAAUAUAUCAUAUCCUUAUAAUAAAGUUAUAUAAGUUGCAAUGAC